rnacentral:rRNA from 1 species
CCCGGGUCUUGUACACACCGCCCGUCACACCAUGGGAGCGGGUUUUACCAGAAGUAGGUAGCUUAACCGCAAGGAGGGCGCUUGCCACGGUAGGAUUCGUGACUGGGGUG